UGAGGAAUAUUGGUCAAUGGGCGGGAGCCUGAACCAGCCAAGCCGCGUGAGGGAAGAAGGCCCUAUGGGUCGUAAACCUCUUUUGUCAGGGAACAAAAGCGAGUAUGUAUACUAGUCUGAGUGUACCUGAAGAAAAAGGCAUCGGCUAACUCCGUGCCAGCAGCCGCGGUAAUACGGAGGAUGCGAGCGUUAUCCGGAUUUAUUGGGUUUAAACGGGUGCGUAGGCGGCGAUGCAAGUCAGCGGUAAAAUGCCCGGGGUCUCAACCCCGGCGAGCCGUUGAAACUGCAGUGCUAGAGAAGGCGAGAGGUACGCGGAAUGCGCAGUGUAGCGGUGAAAUGCUUAGAUAUUGCGCAGAACUCCGAUUGCGAAGGCAGCGUACUGGCGCCUGACUGACGCUGAGGCACGAAAGCGUGGGGGAUCGAACAGGAUUAGAUACC
rnacentral:rRNA from 1 species